ACCCACAAACACACACAAGGAAAAAGACAGACAGGGGAAAACUGGAGACACAGGGGAAAAGGGAAACUCGAGGGAAAUAACUACAGGCUCGGCUGGAGCCAUGACACUGCUGUCCAAGGUGCUGAUUCUGAGGCUGCCAGGGAUGUGGGAGCCGCUGGGGGCACUUGGCGUUGUUGAUUCAGUGAGGUGCUAUUCCCAUUGCUAACUAUGAGCUUCAGGAAUAAUUUUAGUCUCCAAAAGUCUCCAGUGGGGCCCUCCAUAACUGUAAAUUCUGCUUCAAAUUGUAAGACUUCAUCA